ACAAGUUUAAGUAAUGAUAAAUUAUUCGGAGAUUAAAUUAGACUAUGUUGGUUCAGCUAGAGUAAAAAAAAAAAAAAUAGCCAUUUGAAGUAGGAGGUAAAGGUAAGUUUUUUAUGGAGAAUUGGUAAGACUGUGAGCUGAGUGAGACGUUCGCUGUUCCCUGCGCUUUCAUCAGUUGCCCGACGAGGGUAUUGGUGCUGGUGGCAGAGGGUGCUACUCCCUUACUGCGUUUUUAAAGUGACCACUGAGCAGUGAGGGCGAGGCACUAUACAGUAAGACGAGCUACAGUGUGUUGUGCAGAGAACGCCACGAGGGAUUACAUCUUACACUGGGAGGCGACGUGCUGGCCUUUUGAUGGUUUUCCUCCGCAACACGUCCACGUCAUUGACUUGCUGCACACUCCCCUCCCUUGGGGCGUGGUGAUGCACUGUAGGCGAGAAACCGUCGGCCAAAAAAAAAAAAAAAAAAACACUAUUUUUGCUUUACCCCAGAUUUUGAAAUCUUGAAAUUUUCCAGACAUCCUGCAAAACAAAAGUGUAACAGUCAUUUCGAUCCAUUUUCUAUCAUCUGAUUCUGUGAAAUUUUAAUCUUUUAUUUUUCCCAUUAUUUAUCACUGUGGUCUACGAGUAUCACAUGCAGUAUGUAUAACUAAAUACAUCGCGUGGGAAGAGAAGGUGGCUGUAACAGCUGGCUGGGCUGGAGGUCACAGUUUAGUGAAAUGUUGCUAAAAGAAUAAAAAAAAUAAAACGCGGAAAAAAAAAAUGUAGAGAAAUGUCAGAGAAAUGUAACUGAGUUCUGCAAUGAGCCUCCCGUGUUACCUUUGUGUCGGAGUUGUCUGUGCUCGUGUGUGUCAGAUAUACCGGCUGUGGCUGCGUUUGUUUUAAUCCAUCCGUUGCUGCAUUUAAGGGUAAAUCAGAAUGAGGUACAUUAAGAUACUUCUUAUGUGUUAAGGAGAAACCAUGCCCUCAUUAUGUAUCCUUUCAAGAUGUGGACUUUUGACACACACACACACACACACACACACACACACACACACACACACACACACACACACACACACACACACACACACACACACACACACACACACACACACACACACAUUGCCAAGCCAAAUAGAAACCUUAAAAACAGAAGGUUAGUUACACGAUCAUUUCGACUCCGCAAGGGAAAGAAAUGGAAGUUAAAUUCUCCCUUAAGGAAUGACCAAACACAAAAGUGGCGAUGAAUAAAAAACAAAUGAAUAAAUAAAUAGAUUUGUGUCUCCUAGUGGGUAGGCUUUAACAUUUUUUCUCCAACCAUUCGUUGCUGAAUUUUUUUUUUAAGUGCAAUCUGAGAUAAAAAAAAAAAAAAAAAUCCCUUAAUCACUGACUCCAUUUUCUGCUACACAUCAAAGUUUGCGAGUUCGAUCUUGGCUCACGGCAGUUUGUCAGUGGGAAAGGUAUAACAAACCACCAGCAUAUGACCUCAAUGCUGCGGCGCUCUAACUCAAACUCCAAUUUUCGCUUGAGUAAGGUAAUUUUGAGUACUUUAAAGCAACGAACUCAAAGAACGUAGAGAGGUGAAAGUAAAAUGAGUCCCUCGCUGUUGCGUAAUUGUAGUGAGCAUACUCAAAUCUACGACAAAAAACGCGCCGUGAAAUAUUUCCACCUUAAAUCAGAAUUAUGUCGUAGCGAAUGGCCUCCUGUAUUUCCACGCAUAUAAUUAAAAUGAUUUAAUCCCGAUGCAUAUAUAUAUUUUUUUCGUCAUAAUAUGAUAAUCAGUCAACAACAGGUGUUCCAGAGUGACAACCCGAAUUAUUUUGAAUGUAUCUAAUUAAUCGCCUGCGCUUAUAUUUUGAAGUGUGGUUUUUACAGGUGCUUUUCCUUCCCCUCAUUACCUGUUCCCUGCUGCGUAUCCUUCGUGGCGAAGCUGUUUUAAAGAUACGAAAGUGGGUGUGAUGUGUAUAUACUGUUAGUUCUAAUAGGUUGUCAUUUUCAGGUCAGUCUUGUAAUGUAUUGGAAUAAGUGGGUGUUUUUAAUUUAUCGCUAGAUGAAUUCUGGUAUCGGCAGGUGGCCCGUAAAGCAGGUGGUAAAUGUAGGCCGUAAAUUUGUUUUCAUGGGUUAUUUAAUUUGUAUUUUUUUCGGCACAUUUUCAUAAUAUAUAUAACAGCAGGUGUGUACGAAUGUCGUCAUGUGGACACACAAAGGCAUCAGGCCAUCAGGUGUUCUACUGAAUCUAUGGUACAGCAUGUGUGUACUCGAUGUAGUGUAGAGGAUAUAGUGUAGGAUUCUCCAUCCCGUAGCUUCUUUCUCAUUUCGAAGCAGUGACACUAUCACAUACGAGUAUACCCCAAAUUUUCUUACCUGAAGAUGAGCCACCAUAGACUCUCAUCUGAAGAUCAGCCACCUCACACGCGGCUGGGGUGGCGGGACUUCAGUUGAUCCGGAUGUUAUAAAUUGCUUGCAUUCUCUUGGUACUAUUAUUUUAUUUUUAUUUUUUUUUAUAAUUAACAGCAACACUUCUCACUCAAAUGUCUUGCUAAAUACGUAUAUGGUACACGUAUACAUUCAGUAAAUUUCAAGGUUGCUUUUAACUGCUUACAUUGCUUUGGUGCAAUGCUUUAGAUCACCCUUACACCGAAGUAAGUACCAUACCUUUCACUGUAAAAUGAAUGUUGUUGUGUGUGCUGUAAGCAAAUGUUCAGUCAUGCUCUAAAUUGCAAGCAUUUUAUCGUCAUACAUCCAAGGACUCUGUAUUGGUUGUACCGUUUUGUAUAUCGUUUUAUCGGAUCGGUACGCUUCACUCCACUCAUUCCACUCCCUGCUGUGGAUCUUGAACUCUAGCACAAUAGACCAAUUUCAGACUGCACUAGUCAAGAUUUUACACGAAGGCUUAUCAAGUUCUAUUCACCUAUCCACGUUCCUUUCAUCGCUACUCGUAAACCAUAUAAAUUUUUUUUGCUGUCUCGCAGUUUGCUUCGUAAUCUACCUUUGGUGAUUUAUAUAGUUCCCCUGACAUGCACAGUACGAAGAGGUAUUGUGGAUCUCAUUAGGUUAUAUCCGGUUAAGGGUCAUUUUUCCUCUCAAAUAAACGGAAAUGCUCGUACUCUCUGUCGUUUACUUCAGAUUAUUGCUCCCUUGCCAUCAUCAAUAUCCCUUUUUGUUCUCUGCCAUUGUAAUAUAAAUAAUGAUGUCUACCAUAUAAGUAGGUAUUCUGGAGUCUCGUUAGGUAGUUACGGUCGUUUUCCUCCCAGCUAAGCGGAAAUAGUACUCCUUCAGUCAACAAAGUUUCCGGUAAUUAGCUGCCGUCCACCAGUGACCGCGGGCUGGACCUUUGUUGCCUCACUAACUGAACAAACUUGACGGCGGGCGCUGGAGACUGCCGCCAUCAACCACGCGUUAGAAUGUCUUGGGACUCAUCCUUGGGUUACUGUUUGUUCUCCUCCUGUAAGUCUUGUGGUUGUUGUUACUGACUGUUACUUGUAGUAGAAAUUGUUUUUGUAGUUGCUUUUUUUGUUAUUGCUAAAGUUGUCGAUGUUGUUGUUGUUGUUGUUGUUGUUGUUGUUAUUGUUUUUGUUGUUGUUUUGUUGUUAUUGUUGUUGAUGUCUCACUUGAAAAUAGAUGUCCUCAUUCCAAGCUAGGAACUAGAAGAAUAUGUCAAUCCUGUGUUGAACUCAGGCAUGUAAAGCAAUCUUACCAUUAGAAAAAUUGUGAAACAUGAAAAAGGAUUAACUUCCAUUCUGUACCAAUGACAUCUGGAUCAAUGACAGUAAGAACUGUUUUAAAAUACAGAAUAAAUAAGUGUUCCCAAAAGCUACAAGACUUAUUAAUAUGACACCAGCUGGCAAGUUCUAGGGAGGAGCGUUUCGAACCCCCCCCCUCCAACCUACUGUGUCCUUAUACCGCCUUGCCCGUGGGUUAGAAUGGACCACUGUGUAAUGCAGUGACUUUGCCAGCUCCUGUCACAGGUCCCUGUGGACUCGUGCGGACUCCUGUGGACUAAGUCUGAGGUUGGUGGUUGGGUUUUACUUAUAUAAUA